rnacentral:rRNA from 1 species
UACAGAGGGGGCAAGCGUUGUUCGGAAUUACUGGGCGUAAAGGGCUCGUAGGCGGCCAACUAAGUCAGACGUGAAAUCCCCAGGCUCAACCUGGGAACUGCGUCUGAUACUGGAUGGCUUGAAUUCGGGAGAGGGAUGCAGAAUUCCAGGUGUAGCGGUGAAAUGCGUAGAUAUCUGGAGGAAUACCGGUGGCGAAGGCGGCAUCCUGGACCGACAUUGACGCUGAGGAGCGAAAGCUAGGGGAGCAAACGGG